GUCGGGGGAAUCUCUUGUUCUGGUUGAGUAACGCAGGUAAUCGAACCCAGGGAGAGGGUGUGGUUUCAUGGUUUUGAAAGUGGAAGAAUGAGUGUGAAUGAGUAACUCUUUCCUAAGUGCCUUUGUGCAAGGCACCACAACAGCAGCCAGGACAGUGUUUGAAAUCGCCAGUUAGCUUAGCUUAGCUUAGCUUAACAGAGCCUGUGACUAAGUCAGCUAAGAACCAAGGAUUAAUGUAGGGGGUUUUUCCCACUAUGGAGCAACAGUAAACCAUUAAACCCCAGACCCUGUUAGAGCCUCCAGUCUAGACAUCAUCCUUGAUCCAAUCACUCCUCCUAUCACCUCCAUUCAGUCACAACUCGUCUGGCGUCCACACUUUCUAUCCUCAGUGGUUCAUUUUGCCUUUUUUCCUUCAGUCAUGAGUGUCAGCUCGACAUCGUCGACCAUCUUUGUCCUGUUUUGUUUCCUCACAGUUCACAGCUUCGCUCUGAGAAACGCUCAGCCCAUGCCCCCCUGGCAUGGACAGAAGCUUCCAGAAAUUGAUGGUUUUCCAGUGGACACAUGCAACGUUUUUUUCAUCAACCCACCAGAGACGAUCACCAGCCCCCCGACAGCCACGACUUCCAUCGCCAUGACUACGCAGAUACCAACAACAACAGCCCACAAACGGCUCGCCAUCCAAACGCCACAAAAGAAAGAACAAAGCAAGAACCCAGGAGCACCAAUGAGUAACAGACCAAUGGUUUCUAGCCCGGCCCACCCUGCUCUCAGCCUCCUCCUUCAGCGGCUUCUGAUCUACAACAAAGGACACGCUCUGCAUUUCAACCACAAUUCACUUUCAAACAGAGUGAGGUCGGCGGGAAAAUGGAAGAAAGAUUCAGUUUCUUCAGAAGACUCUAGUGACGAGUCCUAAAAUCACAAAAGUUACUUCGUCUGAUUGAAAUUGAGAAAACAAACAUCUCUAGAAAAGUCUCUAUACUUGUUUUUGAUGUUGCGUAGAAAGUUUAAUAAAUCACAGCAGCUUUUGGUCCA
rnacentral:lncRNA from 1 species